AUGGUUGCCAGCGGCAACCACGAGCGGACGUACAUGGACACGGGCGGGUUCUACAACGGCAACGACUCGCACGGCGAGUGCGGCGUGCCGGCGGAGACCUACUUCUACGUGCUGGCGCCGGCGCACCGGGGCAAGUUCUGGUACGCCGCCGACUACGGCAUGUUCCGCUUCUGCGUGGGCGACACGGAGCACGACUGGAGGCCCGGGUCCGAGCAGCACGCCUUCCUGGACGCCUGCUUCGCCGGCGCCGACCGCAAGCACCAGCCGUGGCUCGUCUUCCUGGCGCACCGCCCGCUCGGCUACUCCUCCAACGACUUCUACGCGCAGGAGGGCUCCUUCGCGGAGCCCAUGGGCCGCGCCCUGCAGCCGCUCCGGCAGCGCCACCGCGUCGACCUCGCCGUCUACGGCCACGUCCACAACUACGAGCGGACGUGCUCCGUCUACGAGAACACGUGCACCGUCAAGGGCAAAGACCGGCAGAACAGCUACGCGGGGGCGAUGGGAGGGACGAUUCACGUCGUGGCCGGCACGGGCGGCGCCAAGCUGAGGAGCUACGCCGGCGGGGCGUGGCCGCAGUGGAGCGUGGCGAGGAACGAGAGCUUCGGGUACGUCAAGCUCACCGCCAGCGACCACUCGUCCAUGCGGUUCGAGUUCAUCCACAGCGACGACGGCGCCGUGCACGACGCCUUCACCAUCACCAGGGACUACAAGGACAUCAUGGCAUGCGCCGUCGACAGCUGCGCGCCACACACCCUAGCCAACUAG
rnacentral:rRNA from 1 species